GGCUGGUUAGCUCAGUCAGUUGGGCGUGGCGCUAACAACGCCAAGGUCGCGGGUUCAAUUCCCAUUCGAUCCC
rnacentral:tRNA from 1 species